AUUGAACGCUGGCGGAAUGCUUUACACAUGCAAGUCGAACGGCAGCACGGACUUCGGUCUGGUGGCGAGUGGCGAACGGGUGAGUAAUGUAUCGGAACGUGCCCAGUCGUGAGGGAUAACGUAGUGAAAAUUACGCUAAUACCGCAUACGAUCUAUGGAUGAAAGCGGGGGAUCGCAAGACCUCGCGCGAUUGGAGCGGCCGAUAUCAGAUUAGGUAGUUGGUGGGGUAAAGGCCCACCAAGCCAACGAUCUGUAGCUGGUCAGAGAGGACGACCAGCCACACUGGAACUGAGACACGGUCCAGAAUCCUACGGGAGGCAGCAGUGGGGAAUUUUGGACAAUGGGCGAAAGCCUGAUCCAGCCAUUCCGCGUGCAGGAUGAAGGCCCUCGGGUUGUAAACUGCUUUUGUACAGAACGAAAAGGUUUCUACUAAUACUAGGAGCUCAUGACGGUACUGUAAGAAUAAGCACCGGCUAACUACGUGCCAGCCGCCGCAGUAA
rnacentral:rRNA from 1 species